ACCAGACUCCUACGGGAGGCAGCAGUGGGGAAUAUUGCACAAUGGGGGAAACCCUGAUGCAGCGACGCCGCGUGAGUGAUGAAGUAUUUCGGUAUGUAAAGCUCUAUCAGCAGGGAAGAUAAUGACGGUACCUGACUAAGAAGCUCCGGCUAAAUACGUGCCAGCAGCCGCGGUAAUACGUAUGGAGCAAGCGUUAUCCGGAUUUACUGGGUGUAAAGGGAGCGCAGACGGCAGGGCAAGUCUGAUGUGAAAGUCCGGGGCUCAACCCCGGGACUGCAUUUGGAACUGUGUGGCUGGAGUGUCGGAGAGGCAGGCGGAAUUCCUAGUGUAGUGGUGAAAUGCGUAGAUAUUAGGAGGAACACCAGUGGCGAAGGCGGCCUGCUGGACGAUGACUGACGUUGAGGCUCGAAAGCGUGGGGAGCAAACAGGAUUAGAUACCCGAGUA
rnacentral:rRNA from 1 species